rnacentral:rRNA from 1 species
AGGCAGAGAUGCGUAACUGAUGGGAAACAGGUCAAUAUUCCUGUACCGAUGUGUAGUGCGAUGUGGGGACGGAUCUUAAUAGGUCAUCCGGGUGUUGGAUAUCCCGGUUUAGGCAGAUGUAGGCGACAGGUAGGCAAAUCCGCCUGUCAUAUACCGAGGCUGCCGAUCGAGCGAGCUUGCUCGCGAAGUGAUUGAACGAGGUUCCAGGAAAAGCCACUAAGCUUCAGCUACACACGACCGUACCGCAAACCGACACUGGUGCGCGAGAUGAGUAUUCUAAGGCGCUUGAGAGAACUCGGGAGAAGGAACUCGGCAAAUUGACACCGUAACUUCGGAAGAAGGUGUGCCCUAUUAGUGUGAAGUGAACAACGGAGCAUGAAUGGGUUGCAAAAAAUCGGUGGCUGCGACUGUUUAUUAAAAACACAGCACUCUGCAAACACGAAAGUGGACGUAUAGGGUGUGACGCCUGCCCGGUGCUGGAAGAUUAAAUGAUGGGGUGCAAGCUCUUGAUUGAAGUCCCAGUAAACGGCGGCCGUAACAAUAACGGUCCUAAGGUAGCGAAAUUCCUUGUCGGGUAAGUUCCGACCUGCACGAAUGGCGUAACGAUGGCCACACUGUCUCCUCCCGAGACUCAGCGAAGUUGAAAUGUUUGUGAUGAUGCAAUCUCCCCGCGGAAAGACGGAAAGACCCCAUGAACCUUUACUGUAGCUUUGUAUUGGACUUUGAACAGAUCUGUGUAGGAUAGGUGGGAGGCUUUGAAGCAGGGUCGCUAGAUCUUGUGGAGCCAACGUUGAAAUACCACCCUGGUGUGUUUGAGGUUCUAACCUAGGUCCAUUAUCUGGAUCGGGGACAGUGCAUGGUAGGCAGUUUGACUGGGGCGGUCUCCUCCCAAAGCGUAACGGAGGAGUUCGAAGGUACGCUAGUUACGGUCGGACAUCGUGACGAUAGUGCAAUGGCAUAAGCGUGCUUAACUGCGAGACUGACAAGUCGAGCAGAUGCGAAAGCAGGACAUAGUGAUCCGGUGGUUCUGUAUGGAAGGGCCAUCGCUCAACGGAUAAAAGGUACUCUGGGGAUAACAGGCUGAUACCGCCCAAGAGUUCAUAUCGACGGCGGUGUUUGGCACCUCGAUGUCGGCUCAUCUCAUCCUGGGGCUGUAGCCGGUCCCAAGGGUAUGGCUGUUCGCCAUUUAAAGAGGUACGUGAGCUGGGUUUAAAACGUCGUGAGACAGUUUGGUCCCUAUCUUCCGUGGGCGCUGCAGAUUUGAGGAAGCCUGCUCCUAGUACGAGAGGACCGGAGUGGACGCACCUCUGGUGUAUCGGUUGUCACGCCAGUGGCAUUGCCGAGUAGCUAUGUGCGGAAGAGAUAACCGCUGAAAGCAUCUAAGCGGGAAACUCGUUCCAAGAUGAGAUCUGCCGGGGCCUUGAGCCCCCUAAAGAGUCGUUCAAGACCAGGACGUUGAUAGGUCGGGUGUGGAAGCGCAGUAAUGCGUUAAGCUAACCGAUACUAAUUGCUCGUGCGGCUUGACCCG